UUAUGUCAACUCAUCUUUACCAGCAAAGUUGGAGACCUCAAAAUGCACCUGGCUUUUUUUUAUACCAAGGAAUCUGUCGUCUGUCACUAGGUGGCUAAAAUAUGUCCACCAGGUAGCGCAGUGUCUCCGUGAGUCCGUGACUCAUCAUCACUUCAGUUCAGCCUUCAGCGACGAGAUUUCCGCCAUUAAUACGAUAAGCGGACAUGUGUUAAUUCUCACGAUUCUCACUAUGCCGUCAUUGCCGUGUGCUUCUACAUUUUCCAACAAGUUAAAAAAAGGUAAUAAUGUAUCCUUUAACUUGCACUUAGCCAAAUCAUCUGAUCGCGGGCCUGAAACUUCUGUCAUGCUUCUGUGUAUUUUUCUGAAAUUUCGUCCAUUACUAGGAAUGGCUGUACGUCUCAUCCCAUAUAUGGAAACAAGUGGCAGAAAUAGAAGUGGUGAUCGACACGGGAGCCACAACCAAACAAGGCAGUGUAGGAUGACUGUGAUGGAUGAUGAAGCUGUUAACACGUGCACGUACAUCUCCACAUUACGACUAAUCAGACUGAAAAUGCAGUUGCUUUCUGCAAAGGUGAAUCUUUUCUUGUAUUUUGAGAACACAACACGUGGUCACAUUUAGCUAUUAAUCAAAGGCACUUGCUAUCGGAAUUAUCCACAAACGGUGAUUCUUUCAUAACAUUGGUUUAUAGUAACUUGGGACUAUUAGUUUUGCUAAGGAAUUGUCAGCCAGGUUAAGUUGAAGUUGUUUGCUGUUGCUGUCUUAUGCAGAACAUUUUUACUUGCUGCUUUCUGACUGCGCAAAUUGGGAAGCUGCCUUUUUUUCAAAUUUUGAAAACUUUUAGUUGUUUUUGAUUCAUAUCUGAUUUGUUUCAUAGGUUUUCCAUUGUGUUGGUGUUUGAUGGAAGACUGAAAUUGCCUGUGGUGUUGCAGUCCAAUGUGCUGAUGCCUGCCCUACCCUGGUUUAAUUAGUACCAAAAGAUCGAAUUUACGAUGGUAGUAAUUUUCCGUUUUUGUUUAGUGUACUCAUUAAGUGGGUUUUUUGUCGCUAUGUAAGUGAUUUGAGCAAUGUGUGAGUUUUAUUCUAUUUGUUUUUACGCGUCUUCUCAGCAGAAUUUAUUAUGUCUUAGGUGUACUUGGAAUGUGAAAUGAUUGAGACUUGCUGAAUAGUGACAAGUUCAUUUCUAAUUAAUGAGACAUUUAAAAUAGACAACAUAUUAAAUAACCUUGAUUAUUAAUAAAUUUUUUACCUUGAAAA